GAAAGUAAGAAAGGGCAGACGGUGGAUGCCUUGGCUCUCGGAGGCGACGAAGGACGUGAUAAGCUGCGAAAAGCCGCGGGUAGGUGCAAAUAACCCUUGAUCCGCGGAUAUCCGAAUGGGGCAACCCGGCUGGUUGAAGGCCAGCCAUUCCGCAAGGAAGGCGAACGUGGGGAACUGAAACAUCUAAGUACCCAUAGGAGAAGAAAACAAAAGUGAUUGCGCAAGUAGUGGCGAGCGAACGCGCAUUAGCCCAAACCCGUAUUGUCGUAGGCAUUACGGGGGUUGUAGGACUACGCCGGUUAGGCAUGAAGAGAAGGGAAAUAGAACGUUUUGGAAAGAACGGCCAUAGCGGGUGACAGCCCCUUAUAUGACUCCCUUUCGAAGCCUCAGUAGUAUCCUGAGUAGCGCGGGACACGAGAAAUCCUGUGUGAAUCUGCGGGGCCCAUCCCGUAAGGCUAAAUACUCCCGAGAGACCGAUAGUGAACCAGUACCGUGAGGGAAAGGUGAAAAGAACCUUAAGUAAAGGAGUGAAAUAGACCCUGAACCCGUCUGCCUACAAGCGGUCGGAGCAUUGUUGUGAUGUGACGGCGUGCCUUUUGCAUAAUGAACCUACGAGUUACUUACAGUGGCAAGGUUAAGCGUUUCAGACGCGUAGCCGAAGCGAAAGCGAGUCUUAACAGGGCGAGUAAAGCAUACCUUUCGGGGUGUGUUAUAGUCACUGUGAGUAGACGCGAAACCAAGUGAUCUACCCUUGAGCAGGUUGAAGGUUGGGUAACACCACCUGGAGGACCGAAUAAACGUUGAAAAGUUUUCGGAUGACUUGAGGGUAGGGGUGAAAGGCUAAUCAAACUUGGAGAUAGCUCGUACUCCCCGAAAUGCAUUUAGGUGCAGCCUCGGUUUAGUUUUAUAUCAGGUAGAGCGACUGAUUGGAUGCGAGGGCUUCGCCGCCUAUCAAGUCCAGAUAAACUCCGAAUGGGUAUAAAAUAUUGACCGGGAGUGAGGGCAUGGGUGCUAAGGUCCAUGUCCGAGAGGAGAAUAAUCCAGACCAUCGGCUAAGGUCCCGAAAUAACAGUUAAGUUGAACUAACGAAGUAUGGUCGCCGUGACAGCUAGGAUGUUGGCUUGGAAGCAGCCAUUCAUUUAAAGAGUGCGUAACAGCUCACUAGUCGAGUGGCCGUGCGUGGAUAAUACUCGGGCAUAAACUGUUUACCGAAGCCGUGGAUGUCGUAAGACGUGGUAGGGGAGCAUUCCAUACGGCGCUGAAGAUGAAAGAUAACUUUUGUUGGAGCGUAUGGAAACGCAAAUGUAGGUAUAAGUAACGAUAAUGCAGGCGAGAAACCUGCACGCCGAAAGACUCAGGAUUCCUGAUCAACGCUAAUCGGAUCAGGGUUAGUCGGGUCCUAAGGUAAAGCCGAACGGCGCUACCGAUGGAUGAACUGGUUAAUAUUCCAGUACUGCUUUAUAGAGUGAUGUGGUGACGGAGAAGUGACACUGCUGCCGGCUGACGGAAUAGUCGGUUAAAGGUUGUAGGCGUAGAUGGGGGCAGGCAAAUCCGCCCCUUGAGCCGAAGCUGAGAGUACCAUGAGCGCUUGCGCGAGUGGAAAUGCAGGUAACCCGGCUCCCAAGAAAACCCGCUAAACUUAUCUAUAAAGCACCCGUACCGUAAACGGACACACGUAGUUGGGUUGAGUAUACUCAGGCGCUCGAGAGAUUCACGGUUAAGGAAUUAGGCAAAAUGACCCCGUAACUUCGGGAGAAGGGGUGCCUGCAGAAGUGCAGGCCGCAGAGAAUAGGAGAAGGCGACUGUUUAUCAAAAACACAUGGCUAUGCGAAAUAGAAAUAUGAGGUAUAUAGCCUGACACCUGCCCGGUGCCGGAAGGUUAAGAGGAGAAGUCAUCCUGCGAGGGAGAAGCUUUGAAUUGAAGCCCCGGUAAACGGCGGCCGUAACUAUAACGGUCCUAAGGUAGCGAAAUUCCUUGUCGGGUAAGUUCCGACCUGCACGAANNNNNNNNNNNNNNNNNCAACCGUGAGCUCGGUGAAAUUGUAGUAUCGGUGAAGAUGCCGAUUACCCGCGAUGGGACGAAAAGACCCCGUGAACCUUUACUAUAGCUUUACAUUGGGUUUGGGUAAUGAAUGUGUAGGAUAGGCCGGAGACUGUGAACGUGGCACGCCAGUGCUGCUGGAGUCAUCGUUGAAAUACGGCCCUUUUAUUAUCUGAGCCCUAACCGGUUAGAAAUCGGGACAUUGUAUGGUGGGUAGUUUGACUGGGGUGGUCGCCUCCAAAAGUGUAACGGAGGCUUCUAAAGGUGCGCUCAGGCCGAUUGGUAACCGGUCGCA
rnacentral:rRNA from 1 species